GAAGGGCGCAGCUUAGCGGUAGAGUGCGUGCUUAGCAUGCACGAGGUCCUAGGUUCAAUUCCCAGUCCCUCCA
rfam:Camelus ferus unplaced genomic scaffold scaffold390, whole genome shotgun sequence.